CAGGUGACCAUAGAGUGCAAGGGGCGGAGCUACAGCCUGGCGCGAGGAACCGUUAAGAUGGACAACGAGUAGGACCAAUGAGGUACUCUGACUAGGACGUUGGGAACCCAAUAACAGUGGCCGGGCGGGCGCCUUCCCCGAGCGCGGGGAGAUCUGAAGACAGACAAACAGUUUUCCCAAUGAGACUGUAGAGGAGAAGUGCUAAUUGACCAAUGAGGACUGCGGGGCGGGAGCCUUUGCCGCGGCGGAGUCCAAGAUGGCGGCGUGCGGUUCCGCUGUGUGAAGCGAGCGCGGGGCGGCGGGUUCACCAGCUCCGCGAAGACGACCUCCGGCGACCCGCAACAAUGAAGGGGAAAGAGCGCUCCCCAGUCAAGCCCAAACGCUCGCGUGGUGGCGAGGACUCGACUUCCCGCGGGGAGCGGAGCAAGAAGUUAGGGGGCUCUGGUGGCAGCAAUGGGAGCAGCAGCGGAAAGACCGACAGCGGCGGCGGGUCGCGGCGCAGCCUUCACCUGGACAAGUCCAGCAGCCGAGGGGGCAGCCGCGAGUAUGACACCGGUGGGGGCAGCUCCAGUAGCCGCUUGCACAGUUACAGCUCCCCGAGCACCAAAAAUUCCUCGGGCGGGGGCGAGUCGCGCAGCAGCUCCCGGGGUGGAGGCGGGGAGUCACGUUCCUCUGGGGCCGCCUCCUCAGCUCCUGGCGGCGGGGACGGCGGGGAAUACAAGACGCUGAAGAUAAGCGAGUUGGGGUCCCAGCUGAGUGACGAAGCUGUGGAGGACGGACUGUUUCACGAGUUCAAACGCUUCGGUGAUGUAAGUGUCAAAAUCAGUCAUCUCUCGGGUUCUGGCAGCGGGGAUGAGCGAGUAGCCUUUGUGAACUUCCGGCGGCCAGAGGACGCGCGGGCGGCCAAGCAUGCCAGAGGCCGCCUGGUGCUCUAUGACCGGCCCCUGAAGAUAGAAGCGGUGUAUGUGAGCCGGCGCCGCAGCCGUUCCCCUUUAGACAAAGAUGCUUAUCCCCCGUCAGCCGGCGUGGUCGGGGCCUCUGUAGGUGGUCACCGGCACCCGCCUGGAGGAGGUGGUGGCGGCCAGAGAUCACUUUCCCCUGGUGGCGCAGCCUUGGGAUACAGAGACUACCGGUUGCAGCAAUUGGCUCUUGGCCGCCUGCCUCCUCCACCUCCGCCACCGUUGCCCCGAGAGCUAGAGAGGGAGCGAGACUACCCGUUCUAUGAGAGAGUGCGCCCAGCAUACAGUCUUGAGCCAAGGGUGGGAGCUGGAGCAGGUGCUGCUCCUUUCAGAGAAGUGGAUGAGAUCUCACCCGAGGAUGAUCAGCGAGCUAACCGGACGCUUUUCUUGGGCAACCUAGACAUCACUGUGACAGAGAGUGAUCUGAGAAGGGCUUUUGACCGCUUUGGAGUCAUCACAGAAGUAGACAUCAAAAGGCCUUCUCGGGGCCAGACCAGUACCUAUGGCUUUCUCAAAUUUGAGAACCUAGACAUGUCUCACCGGGCCAAACUAGCAAUGUCUGGCAAAAUUAUAAUUCGGAAUCCUAUCAAAAUUGGUUAUGGUAAAGCAACACCCACCACCCGCCUCUGGGUAGGUGGCCUGGGACCUUGGGUGCCUCUUGCUGCCCUGGCUCGAGAGUUUGACAGAUUUGGCACAAUACGUACCAUAGACUACCGCAAAGGUGAUAGUUGGGCGUAUAUCCAGUAUGAAAGCCUGGAUGCAGCUCAUGCUGCCUGGACCCAUAUGCGGGGCUUCCCCCUCGGUGGCCCAGAUCGUCGCCUUAGAGUAGACUUUGCAGACACAGAACAUCGUUACCAGCAGCAAUAUCUGCAGCCCCUGCCGUUAACUCAUUAUGAAUUGGUAACAGAUGCUUUUGGACAUCGGGCACCUGACCCUUUGAGGGGGGCUCGGGAUAGGACGCCACCCUUACUAUACAGAGAUCGUGAUAGAGACCUUUAUGCUGACUCUGAUUGGGUGCCACCCCCACCCCCAGUCCGUGAACGCAGCACUCGGACUGCAGCUACUGCUGUACCUGCUUAUGAGCCACUGGAUAGCCUGGAUCGCAGGCGGGAUGGCUGGUCCUUGGACCGGGACAGAGGUGAGCGAGAUCUGCCCAGCAGCAGAGACCAGCCUAGGAAGCGAAGGCUGCCAGAGGAGAGUGGUGGGCGGCAUCUGGAUAGGUCCCCUGAGAGCGACCGUCCACGAAAACGUCACUGCGCUCCUUCUCCUGACCGCAGUCCAGAAUUGAGCAGUAGCCGGGAUCGCUACAACAGUGACAAUGAUCGAUCCUCGCGUCUUGUCUUGGAAAGGCCCUCUCCAAUCAGAGACAGACGAGGUAGUUUGGAGAAGAGCCAGGGUGACAAGCGAGACCGUAAAAACUCCGCAUCAGCUGAACGGGAUAGGAAGCACCGGACAGCUGCUCCCACUGAGGGAAAAAGUCCUUUGAAAAAAGAAGACCGGUCUGAUGGGAGUGCAGCCAGCACCAGCACUGCUUCGUCGAAGCUGAAGUCCCCUUCCCAGAAACAGGAUGGUGGGACAGCCCCUGCAGCAGCAGCCUCUCCCAAACUCUGUUUGGCCUGGCAGGGCAUGCUUCUAUUGAAGAACAGCAACUUUCCUUCCAACAUGCAUCUGUUGCAAGGAGACCUCCAAGUGGCUAGUAGUCUUCUUGUGGAGGGCUCGACUGGAGGCAAAGUGGCUCAGCUCAAGAUCACUCAGCGUCUUCGUUUGGACCAGCCCAAGUUGGAUGAAGUAACUCGACGCAUCAAAGUGGCAGGGCCCAAUGGUUAUGCCAUUCUUCUGGCUGUGCCUGGAAGUUCUGACAGCAGAUCCUCCUCUUCCUCCGCCACGUCAGACACUGCCACCUCUACUCAGAGGCCACUUAGGAACCUUGUGUCCUAUUUAAAGCAAAAGCAGGCCGCUGGGGUGAUCAGCCUCCCUGUGGGGGGCAACAAAGACAAAGAAAACACCGGGGUCCUUCAUGCCUUCCCACCCUGUGAGUUCUCCCAGCAGUUCCUGGAUUCCCCUGCCAAGGCACUGGCCAAAUCUGAAGAAGAUUACCUGGUCAUGAUCAUUGUCCGUGGUGCGUCCUAAAGUCCAUGUGUAACGUGUAUUUAAUACUUUGACAUGGUUCCUGUUUUGUGAUGUGUAAUGGGAUACAGCAUCAGAUGAAAUUUUCUUUUUAAUUAGUUGUUUAGUUGUAGUUUUUUUCUUUUUUAUAUUUUUAUAAACCUUUAAAAUAGAAGUCAAGACACUUUAGCUAUUAUUUUAAGUGAAAGGGAUGCCCUUGUAGGUAGCAGGCAGGUGGAUUUACUUUAAUUAGGAGUUCCUACUCUUAUGAGUAACUUGUUUUCCUCUUUUUCUUCAUUUUUUUUUCUUUUUUAACCUUGAGCUUAAAAAAAUCCUCAAAGUAACAAAACCAAAAUUUUGACAAGUCAGAAUUUGGAGAAGAGCCCACUGACUAUAUAAAGAUGGUAAUAGACACCUAAAGAUGGCUUCAUUGCAAAACUGGUGAACAGCGGAUGAAGAUAUGGAAUUCAAAGCUCUAAUGGACCUUUUUGAAGAGAAGUUGUGGCUUAUGUGGAGUUUACAUGGGCCUCUUGAUGGAAGAAAGCUAAUCUGUUUAGUAUUUGUGCAUUUUACUAAAAUGGCAGCUUAAAGUUGUGUAUCUGCUAUUGUGAUGCCAAUGCCGGUGUUUUAAGUGGAAAAAAAAUGACCUCUUGCUUUGUGCUGUGUACACAAGAUUUCUGGAAAAGUAAAGAAAAACCCUUUUUAUGGCUCACACAGCUUAAAAGUAGCUGUCACUCAAACGUGCGCUCACAGUUGAGCUGCUUUUGUUUUAUUCUAAAUAAAUUGUUUCUUUUGAGGAAAA